rnacentral:rRNA from 1 species
CCUACGGGAGGCAGCAGUGGGGAAUCUUGCGCAAUGGGCGCAAGCCUGACGCAGCGAUGCCGCGUGGGUGAAGAAGGCCUUCGGGUCGUAAAGCCCUUUUGGUGGGGAGGAUGAUGACGUCACCCGCCGAAUAAGCGCCGGCUAACUACGUGCCAGCAGCCGCGGUAAUACGUAGGGCGCGAGCGUUGUCCGGAAUCACUGGGCGUAAAGGGCGCGCAGGUGGGUUCGCAAGCGGGGGGUGAAAGGCCGGGGCUCAACCCCGGGACUGCUUCCCGAACUGCGGAUCUAGAGGGGGUCAGGGGCCAGCGGAAUUCCGGGUGGAGAGGUGAAAUUCGUAGAGAUCCGGAGGAACGCCGGCGGCGAAAGCGGCUGGCUGGGGCCGCCCUGACACUGAGGCGCGAGAGCGUGGGGAGCAAACAGGAUUAGAUACCCUGGUAG